rnacentral:rRNA from 1 species
GACGAACGCUGGCGGCGUGCUUAACACAUGCAAGUCGAACGGAAAGGCCCUGCUUUUGUGUGGUGCUCGAGUGGCGAACGGGUGAGUAACACGUGAGUAACCUGCCCUUGACUUUGUGGGAACUUCAUGAAACUGGGGCUAAUACCGGAUAGGAGCUCCUGCUGCAUGGUGGGGGUUGGAAAGUUUCGGUGGUUGGGGUGUGACUCGCGGCUUGUGAGCUUGUUGGUGGGGUAGUGGCUUACCAAGGCUUUGACGGGUAGCAGGCCUGAGCGGGUGACCGGAUCCGCUGGGCCUGAGCUGCGGCACAGACUACUACGGGAGGGAACAGUGGGGAAGAUUACACUAUGGGCGGAAGCCUGAUGUAGUAACGCAGCGUGCGGGAUGACGGCAUUCGGGUUGUAAACCGCUUUCGCCUGUGACGAAGCGUGAGUGACGGUAACGGGUAAAGAAGCACCGGCUAACUACGUG